rnacentral:rRNA from 1 species
AUUGAACGCUGGCGGCAUGCCUUACACAUGCAAGUCGAACGGUAACAGGUCUUCCGCUGCUGACGAGUGGCGAACGGGUGAGUAAUACAUCUGAACGUUCCCGAUCGUGGGGGAUAACGAAGCGAAAGCUUUGCUAAUACCGCAUAAGAUCUACGGCUGAAAGGAGGGGACAGGAAGGUAUUGAGGGAAUGGGGUGGAUGAUGGAAGAUUAGGUAGUUGGUGGGAUAAACGCUGACCAAGACGACGAUCUGUAGCUGGUCUGAGAGGACGACCAGACACACUGGGACUGAGACACGGCCCAGACUCCUACGGGAGGCAGCAGUGGUGAAUUUUAUACACUUGUCAAAACCCUAAUCCAACCAUACCACGUUCAGAAUGAAGGCCUUCGGGUUGUAAACUGCUUUUGUACGGAACGAAAAAAGUCUACUUAAUACCUGCCCUCCAUAACUUUCCCUUAAUAAUAACCACCGGCUAACUACCUG